GCCCUUGUAGCUUAGUGGUUGGAGCGCGUCCUUGGUAAGGACGAGGCCGGGAGUUCAAAUCUCCCCAAGGGCU
rnacentral:tRNA from 1 species